AACCUUCGGAAGUCCGGUUUAACUAGUUAACCUUUAGGUUUAAGUUUUCGGUUAAGGGGGUUAAGUCCGGGGAAAGGUUUACGGNACGUUUACGUUNACGUUUAAAAAAGUUAAAAAAGUUAAGGUAGGUUUUAAAGGUUAAGAACACGUCUAACGCUUGAAUACAUUAGCAUGGAAUAAUGAAAUAGGACGUUGAUCUAUUUUGUUGGUUUCUAGGAUGACGUAAUGAUUAAUAGGGAUAGUUGGGGGCAUUAGUAUUCAAUUGUCAGAGGUGAAAUUCUUGGAUUUAUUGAAGACUAACUACUGCGAAAGCAUUUGCCAAGGAUGUUUUCAUUAAUCAAGAACGAAAGUUAGGGGAUCGAAGACGAUCAGAUACCGUCGUAGUCUUAACCAUAAACUAUGCCGACUAGGGAUCGGAUGAUGUUAAUUUUUAAUGACUC
rnacentral:rRNA from 1 species